rnacentral:SRP_RNA from 1 species
GCUGGGUGUGGUGGUGCACGCCUGUAGUCCUAGCUACUCGGGGGCUGAGACAGGAGAAUUGCUUGAACCUGGGAGGUGGAGGUUGCAGUGAGCUGAGAUGGUGCCACUGCACUCCAGCCUGGGGGACAGAGCGAGACCCUGUCUUAA